rfam:Salmo salar isolate Sally breed double haploid chromosome ssa19, whole genome shotgun sequence.
UGCAUUCACUACUGUAAGUCGCUCUGGAUCAGAGAGCGUCUGCUAAAUGACUAAAA